rnacentral:rRNA from 1 species
GUCCACGCCGUAAACGAUGGAUACUAGCUGUUCGGAAGUAAUUCUGAGUGGCUAAGCGAAAGUGAUAAGUAUCCCACCUGGGGAGUACGGGCGCAAGCCUGAAACUCAAAGGAAUUGACGGGGCCCGCACAAGCGGUGGAGCAUGUGGUUUAAUUCGAUGAUACGCGAGGAACCUUACCAGGGCUUAAAUGUAGUUUGACCGCUUAGGAAACUAGGCUUUCGCAAGACAAAUUACAAGGUGCUGCAUGGUUGUCGU